rnacentral:lncRNA from 1 species
GACACCCGCGUUCUCCGCCGAAGUCCAAUCCAUCCCGCUCACCUUCCGGAGGGGGCCUCGCACCGGCCUGCGUCGAGUGCAGCUGUGCUUGCAAGAACCAUUCCUGGUUUCAGAAGCUAAAAAUGUAUGGAGCUAUCCGUGGUGCUGAUUCUUAGACUGCCAUUAGCAAUGGACAAAAUGUGACCGGCCACAUCCUGCAUCUGCCACUGUGCCUUCUCCA